rnacentral:rRNA from 1 species
UCUGUAGCAAUACAGGCGCUGGCGACCGGCAAACGGGUGCGGAACACGUACACAACCUUCCUUUAAGUGGGGAAUAGCCCGGGGAAACCCGGAUUAAUACCCCGUAAUAUAAUGAAGUGGCAUCACUUUAUUAUUAUAGCUCCGGCGCUUGAAGAUGGGUGUGCGACUGAUUAGGCAGUUGGCGGGGUAACGGCCCACCAAACCUACGAUCAGUAACUGGUGUGAGAGCACGACCAGUCACACGGGCACUGAGACACGGGCCCGACUCCUACGGGAGGCAGCAGUAAGGAAUAUUGGUCAAUGGACGCAAGUCUGAACCAGCCAUGCCGCGUGGAGGAUGAAGGUCCUCUGGAUUGUAAACUUCUUUUAUUUGGGAAGAAAUCCACAAAUUCUUUUGUGGUUGACGGUACCAGAUGAAUAAGCACCGGCUAACUCCGUGCCAGCAGCCGCGGUAAUACGGAGGGUGCAAGCGUUAUCCGGAUUCACUGGGUUUAAAGGGUGCGUAGGUGGGUUGGUAAGUCAGUGGUGAAAUCUCCAGGCUUAACUUGGAAACUGCCAUUGAUACUAUCAAUCUUGAAUACCGUGGAGAUCAGCGGAAUAUGUCAUGUAGCGGUGAAAUGCUUAGAUAUGACAUAGAACACCAAUUGCGAAGGCAGCUGGUUACACGAAUAUUGACACUGAUGCACGAAAGCGUGGGGAUCAAACAGGAUUAGAUACCCUGGUAGUCCACGCCCUAAACGAUGGAUACUCGACAUACGCGAUAUACUGUGUGUGUCUGAGCGAAAGCAUUAAGUAUCCCACCUGGGAAGUACGAUCGCAAGAUUGAAACUC